rnacentral:lncRNA from 1 species
CUGGCUGAUUUCCCGCGGCUGGUAUUUCGUUCUGCAUAGCUUGAUCGUCCACAUUUGCAAAAAUUCAGUGUCGGGUCUGGUUGUCCUCCAGCUUUGUUCACAGGUCCUUCUAUCCUUUGGUUUCAUUUUCGUCUUGACGGCAUUUUCAUAAAUUAUUCUUACAUACUAAGCCUUAUUGCAAACGCUUAACAUAUAACGCGAAAUUUUC